rnacentral:rRNA from 1 species
AGGUAUCAGAAGUGCGAAUGCUGACAUAAGUAACGAUAAAGCGGGUGAAAAGCCCGCUCGCCGGAAGACCAAGGGUUCCUGUCCAACGUUAAUCGGGGCAGGGUGAGUCGACCCCUAAGGCGAGGCCGAAAGGCGUAGUCGAUGGGAAACAGGUUAAUAUUCCUGUACUUGGUGUUACUGCGAAGGGGGGACGGAGAAGGCUAUGUUGGCCGGGCGACGGUUGUCCCGGUUUAAGCGUGUAGGCUGGUUUUCCAGGCAAAUCCGGAAAAUCAAGGCUGAGGCGUGAUGACGAGGCACUACGGUGCUGAAGCAACAAAUGCCCUGCUUCCAGGAAAAGCCUCUAAGCAUCAGGUAACAUCAAAUCGUACCCCAAACCGACACAGGUGGUCAGGUAGAGAAUACCAAGGCGCUUGAGAGAACUCGGGUGAAGGAACUAGGCAAAAUGGUGCCGUAACUUCGGGAGAAGGCACGCUGAUAUGUAGGUGAAG